rnacentral:lncRNA from 1 species
UCGGAUUGGGUAGAGCCUUAGGUAUGGAACCGCAAGAGGAAUAUCCUAGAAUCGUCUUUUCCUUCUGCUGUUUCAGUUUUUGAGCCCCAAAGUGACAAAAUACUAGGGAAUCGGUCUGGAUUAAAUCCUGGGGGUGAGAUCUGUUAAGUGUGCCACUGCCCUGUUUUAGUCUGCCCUGCAUAAAAUGUAGAGGGCCGUUUGUCAUCGAGAGUACUCUUUGGGUAAAAAGUAAGACUUUAACUUUUGAAAGACAUUCAAAAAGAUCAAUAUGUUUAGGUUUUCUAGCAUCCUUAAACGACCCUACUUAAAGUGGAGGUCCUUCAGGACUACGUGGAAAUAAUUUGAAUUUUGAGAACCUGUUGCAGGCAAUAUUCCGCAAGUAAAAUGAUAAAAGUCAAUGUAUAGCCGAAGAGUGACGGUGUAUACCAUAGGUAAUAUCACUGGAGCAGUUAACGGAAUGCAGCUGCCUCAGCUACUCGCCAUAGGAACCACCUGGAGUCUUGUUUAAAAUGCUGAUUUUAUUUAGUAGGCCCGAGAUUAUACUUACAACAAGCAGCCAAGUGAUAGAGAUUACUUCAUCAGAACCAUUUUCUGAGUUAGUAAACCCUCAGUACUUACCUCGUGCCCUACGGGACACCUCUGACUUUCUCCUCCCUGAACAGCCCAUUGUUCUCUCCUGGCUAACCAGUAGACACAAAGCAAAGAGCUAAGCAUGGGGGUGGGAGGAGAACCCCAGAUCUGAGUUCUUGCUUACGGCUUUCUAUUUAUGAUAGUGGUCUGGUUCCACAUAUUAUAGUUUUGUUUCUUCACCACCAAGUUAGAUGUAAUAAUGCCCGCCCUUUGUCACUGAGUUGCUGUGUUUUAAAUGUCAUAAUGUGAAAGGACACUGUAGGCUGUUACUGGUUAUAUCAAUGCUGUUUUAAGAUAGCGUACAAAUAAUGGGUUUCCCUGUGACAGUGUCAUGUAUAUGUCACACUUUGUUCUUGUUACCCCCUACACACACUGCUGCUCCUCCUUGCUAUCAGUCACAACUCAGCUAUUUAACUGGCCAGAGAGAAAUAUGAAACAUUUUGAAAUAUAUGUAUAUAUAAUAAAAUAGAUUAUAUCUAUGAAAAUUAUGUGCCGGGCAUGACACUUGUUUUCUUUUACAAAUGAAGAAACUGGGCACAGAUUGCUAUUACACCAAGGGGACAGAGCUAUUAAGUGGGAGAAGUGGAAUUUGAAUAAGCCAGGGUGCACAGAUUAGUGAGGAACCUAACUGGAACCUACCAACUAGAAACUCAACAUACAGGGAGGACAAUGAAGUAACCUUCAAAGAAACCAGUUCCUGUUGCCCUAAUCUAACAAGUUUCAACAAAGAAGUACACUAAAACUUUACUGCUAUGCAAUAAAGCACAGCAAACUGG